UGCAAGUCGAACGAGGUCGCAAGACCGAGUGGCGGACGGGUGAGUACAACAUAGGUAACCUGCCCUUUAGUGGGGGAUACCCAGCCGAAAGGUUGGCUAAUACCGCAUAUUAUCCCAGUUUGAGAUAGCUGGGAUGAAAGAUUUAUCGCUAAGGGAUGGGCCUGUGGUCGAUUAGCUUGUUGGUGGGGUAACGGCCUACCAAGGCGACGAUCGAUAGCUGGUCUGAGAGGAUGAUCAGCCACACUGGGACUGAGACACGGCCCAGACUCCUACGGGAGGCAGCAGUGGGGAAUUUUCCGCAAUGGGCGAAAGCCUGACGGAGCGACGCCGCGUGGAGGAUGAAGGAUUUCGGUCUGUAAACUCCUGUCAGGGGGGACGAAUCAACUGACGGUACCCCCAAAGGAAGCAUCGGCUAACUACGUGCCAGCAGCCGCGGUAAGACGUAGGAUGCGAGCGUUGUUCGGAUUUAUUGGGCGUAAAGCGUACGUAGGCGGCUUGUUAAGUCUGGUGUUAAAGCUAGGGGCUCAACCCCUGUGUUGCACUGGAAACUGGCAGGCUUGAGUGUGGUAGGGGAAGGUGGAAUUCCGAGUGUAGCGGUGAAAUGCGUAGAUAUUCGGAAGAACACCGGUGGCGAAAGCGACCUUCUGGGCCAUUACUGACGCUGAGGUACGAAAGCUUGGGGAGCGAACGGGAUUAGAUACCCCGGUAGUCCAAGCGGUAAACGAUGAUCACUAGGUGUAGCGGGUAUCAACCCCUGCUGUGCCGUAGCUAACGCGUUAAGUGAUCCGCCUGGGGAGUACGGUCGCAAGACUGAAACUCAAAGGAAUUGACGGGGGCCCGCACAAGCGGUGGAGGAUGUGGUUUAAUUCGACGCAACGCGA
rnacentral:rRNA from 1 species